GAAACAGAAACGAGCUCGACGCUCUAAUGAACGCAAGGUCGUUAAAUAUUCCCGUGGAUCGAUCUGUCAUCGAUCGACAUCAGAG